CUUUAUUAAAAACGUGAGUGCCCAUAUAAAUUUAAAAAAUAACCAAGGCUUGUAGCUCAGAUGGUUAGAGCACACCCCUGAUAAGGGUGAGGUCGGUGGUUCAAAUCCACUCAGGCCUAAAUUUUAUAAUUUUCCCCUUUUAUUAGGGGCUAUAGCUCAGUUGGUAGAGCGCCUGCUUUGCAAGCAGGAGGUCAGCGGUUCAACCCCGCUUAGCUCCAAAAAUUUUAAAAUUAAAUUUAAAAUUAUCUUAUUAAAUUUAAGCAAUAUUAAUUUAUGUAAUUUUAGUUUACAA
rnacentral:tRNA from 1 species